CUGUGUGUUGUUGGGUAGGGGAGCGUUCUGUAAGCCUGUGAAGGUGUGCUGUGAGGCAUGCUGGAGGUAUCAGAAGUGCGAAUGCUGACAUAAGUAACGAUAAAGCGGGUGAAAAGCCCGCUCGCCGGAAGACCAAGGGUUCCUGUCCAACGUUAAUCGGGGCAGGGUGAGUCGACCCCUAAGGCGAGGCCGAAAGGCGUAGUCGAUGGGAAACAGGUUAAUAUUCCUGUACUUGGUGUUACUGCGAAGGGGGGACGGAGAAGGCUAUGUUGGCCGGGCGACGGUUGUCCCGGUUUAAGCGUGUAGGCUGGUUUUCCAGGCAAAUCCGGAGAAUCAAGGCUGAGGCGUGAUGACGAGGCACUACGGUGCUGAAGCAACAAAUGCCCUGCUUCCAGGAAAAGCCUCUAAGCAUCAGGUAACAUCAAAUCGUACCCCAAACCGACACAGGUGGUCAGGUAGAGAAUACCAAGGCGCUUGAGAGAACUCGGGUGAAGGAACUAGGCAAAAUGGUGCCGUAACUUCGGGAGAAGGCACGCUGAUAUGUAGGUGAAGCGACUUGCUCGUGGAGCUGAAAUCAGUCGAAGAUACCAGCUGGCUGCAACUGUUUAUUAAAAACACAGCACUGUGCAAACACGAAAGUGGACGUAUACGGUGUGACGCCUGCCCGGUGCCGGAAGGUUAAUUGAUGGGGUCAGCGCAAGCGAAGCUCUUGAUCGAAGCCCCGGUAAACGGCGGCCGUAACUAUAACGGUCCUAAGGUAGCGAAAUUCCUUGUCGGGUAAGUUCCGACCUGCACGAAUGGCGUAAUGAUGGCCAGGCUGUCUCCACCCGAGACUCAGUGAAAUUGAACUCGCUGUGAAGAUGCAGUGUACCCGCGGCAAGACGGAAAGACCCCGUGAACCUUUACUAUAGCUUGACACUGAACACUGGUCCUUGAUGUGUAGGAUAGGUGGGAGGCUUUGAAGUGUGGACGCCAGUCUGCAUGGAGCCGUCCUUGAAAUACCACCCUUUAAUGGCUGGUGUUCUAACGUGGGCCCGUAAUCCGGGUUGCGGACAGUGUCUGGUGGGUAGUUUGACUGGGGCGGUCUCCUCCUAAAGAGUAACGGAGGAGCACGAAGGUUGGCUAAUCCUGGUCGGACAUCAGGAGGUUAGUGCAAUGGCAUAAGCCAGCUUGACUGCGAGCGUGACGGCGCGAGCAGGUGCGAAAGCAGGUCAUAGUGAUCCGGUGGUUCUGAAUGGAAGGGCCAUCGCUCAACGGAUAAAAGGUACUCCGGGGAUAACAGGCUGAUACCGCCCAAGAGUUCAUAUCGACGGCGGUGUUUGGCACCUCGAUGUCGGCUCAUCACAUCCUGGGGCUGAAGUAGGUCCCAAGGGUAUGGCUGUUCGCCAUUUAAAGUGGUACGCGAGCUGGGUUUAGAACGUCGUGAGACAGUUCGGUCCCUAUCUGCCGUGGGCGCUGGAGAACUGAGGGGGGCUGCUCCUAGUACGAGAGGACCGGAGUGGACGCAUCACUGGUGUUCGGGUUGUCAUGCCAAUGGCACUGCCCGGUAGCUAAAUGCGGAAGAGAUAAGUGCUGAAAGCAUCUAAGCACGAAACUUGCCCCGAGAUGAGUUCUCCCUGAGACUUUAAGUCUCCUGAAGGAACGUUGAAGACGACGACGUUGAUAGGCCGGGUGUGUAAGCGCAGCGAUGCGUUGAGCUAACCGGUACUAAUGAACCGUGAG
rnacentral:rRNA from 1 species